GUACUGAAGGUACAGUGGUUAGUGUGUUAAGCUUCCGACCUAAAGUGUGUAGGUUCUAAUCCUACCAUCAUACG